GUUACCGAUGGAGGGCAGCGCGAGCGCGGCGGCGUGUCGCGCCAGUGCGUGGUGGUGGGGGUGGGGUAGAGGUGGGACAGUUACCGAUGGAGGGCAGCGCGAGCGCGGCGGCGUGUCGCGCCAGUGCGUGGUGGUGGGGGUGGGGUAGAGGUGGGACAGUUACCGAUGGAGGGCAGCGCGAGCGCGGCGGCGUGUCGCGCCAGUGCGUGGUGGUGGGGGUGGGGUAGAGGUGGGACAGUUACCGAUGGAGGGCAGCGCGAGCGCGGCGGCGUGUCGCGCCAGUGCGUGGUGGUGGGGGUGGGGUAGAGGUGGGACAGUUACCGAUGGAGGGCAGCGCGAGCGCGGCGGCGUGUCGCGCCAGUGCGUGGUGGUGGGGGUGGGGUAGAGGUGGGACAGUUACCGAUGGAGGGCAGCGCGAGCGCGGCGGCGUGUCGCGCCAGUGCGUGGUGGUGGGGGUGGGGUAGAGGUGGGACAGUUACCGAUGGAGGGCAGCGCGAGCGCGGCGGCGUGUCGCGCCAGUGCGUGGUGGUGGUGGUGGGGGUAGAGGUGGGACAGUUACCGAUGGAGGGCAGCGCGAGCGCGGCGGCGUGUCGCGCCAGUGCGUGGUGGUGGGGGUGGGGUAGAGGUGGGACAGUUACCGAUGGAGGGCAGCGCGAGCGCGGCGGCGUGUCGCGCCAGUGCGUGGUGGUGGGGGUGGGGUAGAGGUGGGACAGUUACCGAUGGAGGGCAGCGCGAGCGCGGCGGCGUGUCGCGCCAGUGCGUGGUGGUGGGGGUGGGGUAGAGGUGGGACAGUUACCGAUGGAGGGCAGCGCGAGCGCGGCGGCGUGUCGCGCCAGUGCGUGGUGGUGGUGGUGGGGGUAGAGGUGGGACAGUUACCGAUGGAGGGCAGCGCGAGCGCGGCGGCGUGUCGCGCCAGUGCGUGGUGGUGGGGGUGGGGUAGAGGUGGGACAGUUACCGAUGGAGGGCAGCGCGAGCGCGGCGGCGUGUCGCGCCAGUGCGUGGUGGUGGGGGUGGGGUAGAGGUGGGACAGUUACCGAUGGAGGGCAGCGCGAGCGCGGCGGCGUGUCGCGCCAGUGCGUGGUGGUGGGGGUGGGGUAGAGGUGGGACAGUUACCGAUGGAGGGCAGCGCGAGCGCGGCGGCGUGUCGCGCCAGUGCGUGGUGGUGGGGGUGGGGUAGAGGUGGGACAGUUACCGAUGGAGGGCAGCGCGAGCGCGGCGGCGUGUCGCGCCAGUGCGUGGUGGUGGGGGUGGGGGUAGAGGUGGGACAGUUACCGAUGGAGGGCAGCGCGAGCGCGGCGGCGUGUCGCGCCAGUGCGUGGUGGUGGGGGUAGAGGUGGGACAGUUACCGAUGGAGGGCAGCGCGAGCGCGGCGGCGUGUCGCGCCAGUGCGUGGUGGUGGGGGUAGAGGUGGGACAGUUACCGAUGGAGGGCAGCGCGAGCGCGGCGGCGUGUCGCGCCAGUGCGUGGUGGUGGGGGUGGGGGUAGAGGUGGGACAGUUACCGAUGGAGGGCAGCGCGAGCGCGGCGGCGUGUCGCGCCAGUGCGUGGUGGUGGGGGUAGAGGUGGGACAGUUACCGAUGGAGGGCAGCGCGAGCGCGGCGGCGUGUCGCGCCAGUGCGUGGUGGUGGGGGUGGGGGUAGAGGUGGGACAGUUACCGAUGGAGGGCAGCGCGAGCGCGGCGGCGUGUCGCGCCAGUGCGUGGUGGUGGGGGUGGGGGUAGAGGUGGGACAGUUACCGAUGGAGGGCAGCGCGAGCGCGGCGGCGUGUCGCGCCAGUGCGUGGUGGUGGGGGUGGGGGUAGAGGUGGGACAGUUACCGAUGGAGGGCAGCGCGAGCGCGGCGGCGUGUCGCGCCAGUGCGUGGUGGUGGGGGUAGAGGUGGGACAGUUACCGAUGGAGGGCAGCGCGAGCGCGGCGGCGUGUCGCGCCAGUGCGUGGUGGUGGGGGUGGGGGUAGAGGUGGGACAGUUACCGAUGGAGGGCAGCGCGAGCGCGGCGGCGUGUCGCGCCAGUGCGUGGUGGUGGGGGUAGAGGUGGGACAGUUACCGAUGGAGGGCAGCGCGAGCGCGGCGGCGUGUCGCGCCAGUGCGUGGUGGUGGGGGUAGAGGUGGGACAGUUACCGAUGGAGGGCAGCGCGAGCGCGGCGGCGUGUCGCGCCAGUGCGUGGUGGUGGGGGUGGGGGUAGAGGUGGGACAGUUACCGAUGGAGGGCAGCGCGAGCGCGGCGGCGUGUCGCGCCAGUGCGUGGUGGUGGGGGUAGAGGUGGGACAGUUACCGAUGGAGGGCAGCGCGAGCGCGGCGGCGUGUCGCGCCAGUGCGUGGUGGUGGGGGUGGGGGUAGAGGUGGGACAGUUACCGAUGGAGGGCAGCGCGAGCGCGGCGGCGUGUCGCGCCAGUGCGUGGUGGUGGGGGUGGGGGUAGAGGUGGGACAGUUACCGAUGGAGGGCAGCGCGAGCGCGGCGGCGUGUCGCGCCAGUGCGUGGUGGUGGGGGUAGAGGUGGGACAGUUACCGAUGGA